rnacentral:piRNA from 1 species
UGGCAAAGGGGACCUAGGGAAGCUAAUGA